GGUGAACGCUUGGCUUGGCCAAACCGCUACAUUUUAAAUUUUAAAAUUUAAACACCCCGCUAUGACAUGGCCACCAAGCGAAUAGGAGCCCGCCACAUAUGAUCGCUAGCCCACCCCACGCUCGGCUAUAAACUCCCGCCCCUUGGGCCACGCCCCAACCCAAGCCCACCCGGGGUGGUGGCUUGGGCGUUUUCAGCCAACCCACGCUCCAACCCAAGCCCCAUACCCCACAGUCUUAGGUACAAGUAAGUUAAGCACCAUGCUUUUCAUAUGUAUUCUCUAGCUAUAACUCUCAGACACUAAUUCUUGGUUGUUUCUCAUCUCUCUCUUUCUCUCCUCUCAUUAUUUAGACUUGCACAAUGUUUGCAAGCUCUCUUCUUCCAUCCGAUGACCCCAACCUUUCAAGUUAUCAUGUGGAUCCGAGAGCUUUUGACAAUGGUAAAUGGCCGCUGCCAUGCUCCGACAGCGGCGUCUGGGCCGUUGUCGCGCAAAAGAAGCCAGGUUACAACAGUGGUGGUGGUUCAAGCUUAAGAUCGGACGAGAACAGGUUCUGUGGCGGCAACAACGGUUUCACAACGGCGAUGGUUGAGGGUUUUAGUGGUCAGAACCCGCAACGGCGGUUCUUGGUGGUUGGUGGCGUCGCUACGGUAGUGCGAGGGUGGUGGCUAGGUGAUUGAUGGCGGUGGCAAUUUGUGAUGGUGGUAACCGGUGUUGUGUUGGUGCUUAUAGCACUAUGAGAGAGAGAGAGCAAUAAUCAAGAGAGAGAGGUAGAGAUGUAAUCACACGUCUUUUGAAAACCAUAUUCAAAAGAAAGAGCUACCUUUCCUCAUUUCUAUAUUGUAUAAGUUUGACCAGUACUUUUUUUUUCUUUUUUCAUUAAAAUAAAUAAAAUUGUUUUUUAACGGCAUAAAUAAAAUUAUUUCACAAUUGAUAUCAAUACAAA